UCAAGUCGGCAUGGCCCUUACGCCCUGGGCUACACACAUGCUACAAUGGACGUUAACAAAGGGAAGCAAGACCGCGAGGUGGAGCAAAUCCCAAAAAUACGUUCUCAGUUCGGAUCGCAGUCUGCAACUCGACUGCGUGAAGUCGGAAUCGCUAGUAACCGCAGGUCAGCUAUACUGCGGUGAAUACGUUCCCGGGCCUU
rnacentral:rRNA from 1 species